rnacentral:rRNA from 1 species
UACAGAGGUCUCAAGCGUUGUUCGGAUUCAUUGGGCGUAAAGGGUGCGUAGGUGGCGCUGUAAGUCGGGUGUGAAAUUUCGGAGCUCAACUCCGAAACUGCAUUCGAUACUGCGGUGCUUGAGGACUGGAGAGGAGACUGGAAUUCAUGGUGUAGCAGUGAAAUGCGUAGAGAUCAUGAGGAAGACCAGUGGCGAAGGCGGGUCUCUGGACAGUUCCUGACACUGAGGCACGAAGGCCAGGGGAGCAAAACGGGG